rnacentral:rRNA from 1 species
UCCCGUAGUAACUGCGAGUGAAGUGGGAAGAGCUCAAAUUUGGAAUCUGGCGGUUCUGGCCGUCCGAGUUGUAAUCUAGAGAAGUGUUACCUGCGCUGGACCGUGUACAAGUCUCCUGGAACGGAGCGUCAUAGAGGGUGAGAAUCCCGUCUCUGACACGGACUACCAGGGCUUUGUGGUAUGCUCUCAAAGAGUCGAGUUGUUUGGGAAUGCAGCUCAAAAUGGGUGGUAAACUCCAUCUAAAGCUAAAUACUGGCGAGAGACCGAUAGUGAACAAGUACCGUGAGGGAAAGAUGAAAAGAACUUUGGAAAGAGAGUUAAACAGUACGUGAAAUUGCUGAAAGGGAAACGCUUGAAGUCAGUCGCGUUGGCUGGGGAUCAGCUUCACAAACAAGUGCGGUGUAUUUCCUGGUUGACGGGUCAGCUUCAAUUUUGACUGCUGGAGAAAGGCUUGAGGAAUGUAGCACCCCGGGCUGUGUUAUAGCCUCUUGUCAGAUACAGUGGUUGGGAUUGAGGUGUGCAGCACGCCGCGAGGC